AUUUGAUGAUGAGGGCAACUAGCACAUAAUUUCUUGAAUCACUCCCAAUACUCAUAUAAAUUAUCCUUAUUGUACUGUCAAAUACAACAAAUUUCUUUCCUAAUAAG